AUACGGAGGGGGCUAGCGUUGUUCGGAUUUACUGGGCGUAAAGGGCGCGUAGGCGGAUGUUCGCGUCAGAGGUGAAAGCCCCGGGCUCAACCUGGGAACUGCCUUUGAAACGGGACAUCUUGAGUUCGGGAGAGGGUAGCGGAAUUCCCAGUGUAGAGGUGAAAUUCGUAGAUAUUGGGAAGAACACCGGUGGCGAAGGCGGCUGCCUGGCCCGAUACUGACGCUGAGGCGCGAAAGCGUGGGGAGCAAACAGGAUUAGAUACCCUGGUAGUCCACGCCGUAAACGAUGUGCGCUAGCAGUCGGGGUGCUUGGCACUUCGGUGGCGCAGUUAACGCAUUAAGCGCACCGCCUGGGGACUACGGCCGCAAGGCUAAA
rnacentral:rRNA from 1 species